GAAAUGCGAUAACUAGUGUGAAUUGCAGAAUUCAGUGAAUCAUCGAGUCUUUGAACGCACAUUGCGGCCGCCGGCAUUCCGGCGGCCAUGCCUGUUCGAGCGCCACUAAAACCCUCAGGACCGCGCUCCUGGCGUUGGGCGGCCGCCUGCCCCGGCGGCGGUCGCCUCAAAUCCAGUGGCGGCGGCGUCUGCGGCGCGACGUACUUAGUAGCACUGCUAGCACGGAGCCCCGACGCUCGCCUGCCGCGAGAACCCCUUACCCCAAAGUGGUUGGCCUCGGAUCAGGUAGGAUUACCCGCUGAACUUAA
rnacentral:misc_RNA from 1 species